UGUUUGUUCGUUGAUAUGGUUUGUGUAACUUUGAUAGCUUGAUUAUUUUAGCUCGCCAACUCUUUUCUUAACUGUUGAUAGCAAUCUGUCUCCUUCCACUGUGGUUUGCUUAAUUUUCCUGUCUUAUGUAGUAAAUUGGUUUUAUUUUCUUUUUCUAUCUAGUGAAGAAUCAAAUUAGAUUUUUUUUUCAUUUAAUCAAGAGCUUUAUAUGAUUUUGAAAGUUAUUAUCAUGGUCUGUAAAUGAUCGCUGAAACUCAAAUUUGAGCAGGGAAGCUGAAUGUUUGAUAGUGUUUUAUGAAGUUCUAGGUUCUGAGUGUUUUAUC
rnacentral:lncRNA from 1 species